rnacentral:misc_RNA from 1 species
AGCGUAAUAGAUCAAUGUUCUUGGGGAGAGAAGAAAUGGGGUUGGGGAGUUUAACAAGCUGAGUACAAGCUGGACAGCGGAUUGUACCUGGAAAGGGGUUUUGUAUCUGUGACAAGCAGUCUUCACAGGCGGAGUGGCCGCAGGGGAGGACUCGCGGGAUGGUUGAGACGUCACCGUAUUGUUGGAGACAAACUGGACAUUCCGGUAGCUCCAGCUCCAGAGUUGACUCUGCCGCCAUUUUAGUGGACAGAAAACGAAAUGAUCAAG